AUUGAACGCUGGCGGCGUGCCUAACACAUGCAAGUCGAGCGGUAACAGGUGUAGCAAUACAUGCUGACGAGCGGCGAACGGGUGAGUAAUGCUUCGGAAUCUACCCAAUGGUGGGGAAUAACCAGCCGAAAGGUUGGCUAAUACCGCAUACGUCCCACGGGAGAAAGCAGGGAUCGCAAGACCUUGCGCCAAUGGAUGAGCCGAAGUCGGAUUAGCUAGNGGUAGGGUAACGGCCUACCAAGGCGACGAUCCGUAGCUGGUCUGAGAGGACGACCAGCCACACUGGGACUGAGACACGGCCCAGACUCCUACGGGAGGCAGCAGUGGGGAAUAUUGGACAAAUGGGGGAAACCCGUGAUCCAGCGACGCCGCGUGUGUGAAGAAGGCCUGCGGGUUGUAAAGC
rnacentral:rRNA from 1 species